rnacentral:snoRNA from 1 species
UAUUAUGAUGAUCAUUUCGAAACAAUAUACGCUGGAAAUUACCGGCAGAGACUCUCGAGUCGCAGAAGAUAUCAAAUGGCUAUACCUGAUU